GACGAACGCUGGCGGCGUGCUUAACACAUGCAAGUCGAACGCUGAAGCUUGGUGCUUGCACUGGGUGGAUGAGUGGCGAACGGGUGAGUAAUACGUGAGUAACCUGCCCUUGACUCUGGGAUAAGCCUGGGAAACUGGGUCUAAUACUGGAUACGACAUGUCACCGCAUGGUGGUGUGUGGAAAGGGUUUUACUGGUUUUGGAUGGGCUCACGGCCUAUCAGCUUGUUGGUGGGGUAAUGGCUCACCAAGGCGACGACGGGUAGCCGGCCUGAGAGGGUGACCGGCCACACUGGGACUGAGACACGGCCCAGACUCCUACGGGAGGCAACAGUGGGGAAUAUUGCACAAUGGGCGGAAGCCUGAUGCAGCGACGCCGCGUGAGGGAUGACGGCCUUCGGGUUGUAAACCUCUUUCAGCACGGAAGAAGCGAAAGUGACGGUACGUGCAGAAGAAGCGCCGGCUAACUACGUG
rnacentral:rRNA from 1 species